rnacentral:rRNA from 1 species
UUCUGCCUACGGGGGGCAGCAGUAGGGAAUUUUCGUCAAUGGGCGCAAGCCUGAACGAGCAAUGCCGCGUGAACGAGGAAGGUCUUCGGAUCGUAAAGUUCUGUUGACGGGGAAAAAAGACCGGGAAAGGAAAUGAUCUCGGAGGAGAUAUUACCCGUCGAGGAAGUCACGGCUAACUACGUGUCAGCAGCCGCGGUAAUAAGUAGGUGGCGAGCGUUAUCCGGAAUGAUUGGGCGUAAAGGGUGUGUAGGCGGUCGCUUAAGUCUGGAGUGAAAGGUAAC